AUACGUAGGGAGCGAGCGUUGUCCGGAAUUACUGGGUGUAAAGGGAGCGUAGGCGGGACUGCAAGUCAGAUGUGAAAUACCGGGGCUUAACCCCGGAGCUGCAUUUGAAACUGUGGUUCUUGAGUGAAGUAGAGGCAAGCGGAAUUCCUGUUGUAGCGGUGAAAUGCGUAGAUAUCAGGAGGAACACCGGUGGCGAAGGCGGCUUGCUGGGCUUUUACUGACGCUGAGGCUCGAAAGCGUGGGUAGCAAACAGGAUUAGAUUCCCUGGUAGUCCACGCUGUAAACGAUGAUUACUAGGUGUGGGGGGACUGACCCCUUCCGUGCCGCAGUUAACACAAUAAGUAAUCCACCUGGGGAGUACGGCCGCAAGGUUGAAACUCAAAGGAAUUGACGGGG
rnacentral:rRNA from 1 species